rnacentral:lncRNA from 10 species
GCGACCGCCCCGCCGGGAGGCCCUGCACGCACGCGCCGCCGGCCGGGCCAGAUUAGUGUCAUCUUUGAUCACUCUAUCUACAUCCAAGUUAUCAAUAUCCCUUCAAUGGCACAGCACUCAGGACAGCACUGCCACUAAAGAUGCCACCAUCUGGCUAUGCUCUAAUCGGGCAUAUGUGUCCUCAUCCCAUCUGCAGAGGGUCUACAGGGGCUUGCCUCUUGUUGCCAGCACUGCCUGGCUCUGCAGCCUACUCAAGAAAAGAAAAUGAAAGCAGCCUGACUCCAUUCGUCAUGAUUCCUUCUUUUCCUUUUGAGGCUCACAGACAGACCGUUGGCCAGCCUCGCCCAGGACUGACGUCAAGUUCAUCUUUUGCCCUUGUUUGGGCUGGGUCCUCUGGCCCAGCGAUGGAACACUUGUGUACCUUCACCUGGUGCCCUGGGCUGCUCCAGACCCUGGCCUCUGGCUGUGCCAAAGCAGGAAGGACAGACUCAGGGUGUUGCCUGUUUGCUCUGGUGGGGAGAGGCUAAGAAUCGCAGUGACGUAGGGAGAGAAGAAAGAUGGACCCAUGUGGCAGGAGAUUGUGCUCAGGGUAGAGUCAGCAAAACACUGACAAGAUUCCCCAAAACUCUGGCCAGAAAGUGCCUGAGAUCUCCGUUUUUAGAUUCUGUUCUUUAAAGAUACUUCAUCUGUAUGUGUCCUUGAGUAGAAGGCAAGUUCUCCUUGAAGGGGACACGUUUCUCUGCUGUCAUCUUAGGACAACUUCUUUGAGAAGGAGACUCUAGUUCCUGCAGCCAUUUGAGAAGGGGGCUGGAGGGGCUGAGCCAGGAGGUUUUGGGGGUGAGGCCCAGGUAGAACUUUGUGGCAGGGAGUGCUGGGGUGUGCACCCACAUGGGCCACCCCACAAGUUGAUGGGGAAAGGGGGCAAGUAGGGAGUACAAGGAUGGAAGGGGUUCUCUUCUCCCCACCCACUUUGCCUGGCUGACUCCCAUUUGUCCUUCAUAUCUCAGUUUCAGCACCAAUUCCUCAGGGAAGCCCUGCAGGCCUCAGAACAAGUGAGAUCCCCCUGUCAUUCCCUCCCAGAGCCCACACUUUUUAUCCAUAGCUCUUACCACAGUUACAGUUAAGGCUGUCGCAAGGUGUGCGGGUAUCUCGCCUCCAUCCACGAACUCUCUGUGAUGGCAGUGGCCAAGUCUAUCUGUUCACCACUGAGUCCGAGCACCCAGCCCUGGGCCUGCACACAGUAGGCACUCAGCCAUAUGGAGUGUUGUAUGAAUGAAUACAUGAAUGGAAGAAUGGACAAAUAUAACUGGGAGGACACAGUGCAGAGGCACUGCAGCCCCUUCUCAUUUUUCGCUGGCCUAGUUGGACACAGAGGACUUGGAUGACCAGAGGAGGGACGCCACCUGGUGGUAAGAGUGUGGAGUGAGCAUUGAGUUCCCUUCUCAAAAUUUGCCUCCAGUAAACAAAAUAAUCCUGCCUUCUAGUCAACCCUAUCAAAGAGCUGAGCAUCAGGGAAAAACUCCGAUCUCCAGGAACAAAUGACAAAAAAAAAAAAAAGUAGAAGGCACUGUUUCCAAAUGGAGCAGAGGAACUGAAAUCCAAGUUAGAGACAUGAUCUAUAAACACACAGGAAAGCAACCAAAAGAAAGCUUGGAUUUGCUCAUCAUUUCAUCUAAAUGUAGUGAUAAUAAUAAUGACUUUCCACUUACUGCGUAAUACUACGUUCCAGAUGCAUGGGUACACUGUGCUGUGUGCUGAACAUAUUUAAUCUCCUUUAAUUCUCAGCAACAACCUUAUAAGGGAGAUAUUACUAUACCCAUUUUAUGGGGAACAAAUGUCAGUUCAGAAAGUUUGAGUAACUCCCAGGAUCACACAGCCAGGACCUGACAAGCUGGGAUUUGACUUCAGGUCUGUGGACUCUGAAACUCAUGAUAUUAACCAUUAGGUUAGACACCUGAUAGAUAUGGCCAUUCAACAGGUUGAAAGUGGAUCUCAUCAUCUUUGCUUCUCUUCCUCCUCCACUUCACACCUCAGCGAACAGCACAACCUGUCCUCCCCACACCUAUCCAGUUGACCAAGCCAGACAUCCAGGCAGGUUUGUUUUUGUUUUUGUCUUUGUCUUAUGUUUGAGACAGAGUCUCACUCUGUCAUCUAGGCUGGAGUGCAGUGGCACCAUCUUGGCUCACUACAACCUCCACCUCCAGGGUUCAAGCAAUUCUCCUGCCUCAGCCUCCCAAGUAGGUGGGGUUACAGGCACCCGCCACCACACCCGGCUAAUUUUUUAUAUUUUUAGUAGAGAGGGUUUCACCAUGUUGGCCAGGCUGCUCUCAAACUCCUGACCUCAAGUGAUCCGCCCACCUCAGCCUCCCAAAGUGCUGGGAUUACAGGCAUGAGCCACUGUGCCUGUCUCACCCAGGAGUUUUGAUACCACACCUAAUCACUCACCAAUUUUGUUGAUUCUCUCUCAUAAAUUCACAUUUUUUUCCUAUGCUCUCUAUCCUCACUGCUGCUGCCUUAGUUCAGGCCAUGCCCAUCUCUUGCCUGAUUAGAGGGUCUCCCAGCAGUCCCUCUGCUUCCCAGCACAUGUGUGAUUAUUUAUUUAUUUUUAUUUAUUUAUUUAUUUUUUGAGACGAAGUCUCACUCUGUCACUCGGGCUGGAGUACAGUGGCACGAUCUUGGCUCACCGCAACCUCCGCCUCCCGGGUUCAAGCAAUUUUCCUGCCUCAGCCUCCUGAGUAGCUGGGAUUACAGGCACCUGCCACUAUGCCCAGCUAAUUUUUUGUAUUUAUGGUUCCACAGGCUGUACAGGAAGCAUGAUGCUGGCAUCUCCUUGGCUUCUGGGGAGGCCUCAGGAAACUUACAAUCAUGGUGGAAGGCAAAGGGGAAGUAGGCACGUCUUACAUGGCUGGAGCAGGCAGAAGAGAGGGAGCAGGGAGGUACUACACACUUUUAAACAACCAGCUCUCAUGAUCACUCAUUUACUCACUAUCACGAGAAACAGCACCAAGAGGAUGAUGCUAAACAUUCAUGAAAGACCAUCCCCAUGAUCCAAUCACCUCCCACUAGGCCUCACCUCCAACACUGGGGAUUACAAUUGACAUGAUAUUUGGGCAGGGACACAGAUCCAAACCAUGUCAUCCCUUUAAAGAAGUAAUUAAGGCUGGAUGUGGUGGCUUAUGCCUCUAAUCCCAGCACUUUGGGAGGCCAAGGGAGGAUGGCUUGCAGCUAGGAGUUGGAGACCAGCCUGAUCAACAUAGCAAUACCAUCUCUAAAAAAUAAAAAGUAACUAAGUUAAAGUACAGUCAUCAGGGUGGGCCCUAAUCCAAUGUGACUACUAUCCUUAUAAGAAGAAAUUAGGACACAGGAAACAGAGGGACAAAUGUGAAGACAUAGUGAGAAGGUGGCCAUCUGCAAGCCACGGAGAGAGGCCCCAGAAGAAACCAAGCUGCUGACAUCAUCAUCUUGGACUUCUCGCCUCCAGAACUGUGAGAAAAUACAUUUUCGUUGCUUCAGUCACCUAGUCUGGGGCAUUUUGUUACAGCAGCCCUAGCAAACUAAUACAAUCAAGAAAGGAAAUCAGACUCAGCAAGGCUGAGGGACCCACCUAGCGCUGUCUAGCUCCUUAGUAAUGCAUUCAUCACAUUCUGCCUGUGACCACUCUCUUAUGUUGAUUAUCAGAUAAAAUAAUGGAUUUAACUCUUAUUAUUUAACUUCUUGAGUGUUUGGGUCUUAUUGCUCCAACUGGCACUCAGGGUAAGGGGCCUUGUCUUCCCCUUCUCAGUAUUUGCAGAUAUCCUAGCUGAGCUUGGUGCAUCUUAACAAUAACUUUUUGAUGCAUUUCUUGUUGUUGUUGUGUGGUUGAUUGACACAUUUGGAUGGGUAAAAAGGAGCCUGAUGGCUGGGCAUGGUGGUUCAUUCCUGUUAUCCCAGCUGCUUGGGAGGCUAAGGUGGGAGGAUUGCUUGAUUCCAGGAGUUUGAGGCCAGCCUGGGCAACAUAGCAAGAACUCAUCUCAAAAUAAAAGUAAAAAUUAAAUUUAAAAGGAGCCUGAUGGUAAAUUCCUGAUCCCCAAGAGACACAUACAAAGGUAAAUUCCUGAUCCCCAAGAGACACAUAUUCUGCCAGUGAUCACACAUAUUCCCAGAAGUAGAAUAUGACUCAUCUCUGAAUGUCUAAAUA